rnacentral:rRNA from 1 species
AGUGAACGCUGGCGGCAGGCCUAAUACAUGCAAGUCGAACGGCAGCACAGCAGAGCUUGCUCUGUGGGUGGCGAGUGGCGGACGGGUGAGGAAUACAUGGGAAUCUGCCCAGUCGUGGGGGAUAACGUAUGGAAACGUACGCUAAUACCGCAUGCGCCCUACGGGGGAAAGUCGGGGACCGCAAGGCCUGACGCGAUUGGAUGAGCCCAUGUUCGAUUAGCUAGUUGGCGGGGUAAAGGCCCACCAAGGCGACGAUCGAUAGCUGGUCUGAGAGGAUGAUCAGCCACACUGGAACUGAGACACGGUCCAGACUCCUACGGGAGGCAGCAGUAGGGAAUAUUGGACAAUGGGGGCGAACCCUCGAUCCAGCCAUGCCGCGUGAGUGAAGAA